rnacentral:rRNA from 1 species
AGAGUUUGAUCCUGGCUCAGGAUGAACGCUGGCGGCGUGCUUAACACAUGCAAGUCGAACGAAGCUGCUUAACUGAUUUCCUUCGGGAUUGAUGUUUUGUAGACUGAGUGGCGGACGGGUGAGUAACGCGUGGGUAACCUGCCCUGUACAGGGGGAUAACAAUCAGAAAUGACUGCUAAUACCGCAUAAGACCACAGCACCGCAUGGUGCAGGGGUAAAAACUCCGGUGGUAUGAGAUGGACCCGCGUCUGAUUAGCUAGUUGGUGGGGUAACGGCCUACCAAGCCGACGAUCAGUAGCCGACCUGAGAGGGUGACCGGCCACAUUGGGACUGAGACACGGCCCAAACUCCUACGGGAGGCAGCAGUGGGGAAUCUUCCGCAAUGGACGAAAGUCUGACGGAGCAACGCCGCGUGAGUGAUGAAGGAUUUCGGUCUGUAAAGCUCUGUUGUUUAUGACGAACGUGCAGUGUGUGAACAAUGCAUUGCAAUGACGGUAGUAAACGAGGAAGCCACGGCUAACUACGUGCCAGCAGCCGCGGUAAUACGUAGGUGGCGAGCGUUAUCCGGAAUUAUUGGGCGUAAAGAGGGAGCAGGCGGCACUAAGGGUCUGUGGUGAAAGAUCGAAGCUUAACUUCGGUAAGCCAUGGAAACCGUAGAGCUAGAGUGUGUGAGAGGAUCGUGGAAUUCCAUGUGUAGCGGUGAAAUGCGUAGAUAUAUGGAGGAACACCAGUGGCGAAGGCGACGAUCUGGCGCAUAACUGACGCUCAGUCCCGAAAGCGUGGGGAGCAAAUAGGAUUAGAUACCCUAGUAGUCCACUCCGUAAACGAUGAGUACUAAGUGUUGGGGGUCAAACCUCAGUGCUGCAGUUAACGCAAUAAGUACUCCGCCUGAGUAGUACGUUCGCAAGAAUGAAACUCAAAGGAAUUGACGGGGGCCCGCACAAGCGGUGGAGCAUGUGGUUUAAUUCGAAGCAACGCGAAGAACCUUA